rnacentral:rRNA from 1 species
UCCUUCGGGACUUAGUGGCGGACGGGUGAGUAACGCGUGAGAAUCUGCCUUCAGGAUGGGGAUAACAGUUGGAAACAGCUGCUAAAACCCAAUGUGCCGAGAGGUGAAAUAUUAAUAGCCUGAAGAUGAGCUCGCGUCUGAUUAGCUAGUUGGUGGGGUAAGAGCGUACCAAGGCGACGAUCAGUAGCUGGUCUGAGAGGAUGAUCAGCCACACUGGGACUGAGACACGGCCCAGACUCCUACGGGAGGCAGCAGUGGGGAAUUUUCCGCAAUGGGCGCAAGCCUGACGGAGCAAGACCGCGUGCGGGACGAAGGCCUGUGGGUCGUAAACCGCUUUUGAUAGGGAAGAAUAACUGACGGUACCUAUCGAAUCAGCCUCGGCUAACUCCGUGCCAGCAGCCGCGGUAAUACGGAGGAGGCAAGCGUUAUCCGGAAUUAUUGGGCGUAAAGCGUCCGCAGGUGGUUAUGUAAGUCUGCUGUCAAAGCCCGGGGCUCAACCCUGGAGAGGCAGUGGAAACUACAAGACUAGAGUGUGGUAGGGGCA